rnacentral:rRNA from 1 species
UACGUAGGUCGCAAGCGUUGUCCGGAUUUACUGGGCGUAAAGAGCGCGCAGGCGGCUGGUCAAGUCCGAUGUGAAAUCUCCCGGCUCAACUGGGAAACUGCAUCGGAAACUGAUCGGCUUGAAGAUGGGAGAGGGUAGUGGAUUUCCCGGUGUAGUGGUGAAAUGCGUAGAUAUCGGGAGGAACACCAGUGGCGAAGGCGACUACCUGGCCCAUUCUUGACGCUGAGGCGCGAAAGCUAGGGGAGCGAACGGG